rnacentral:rRNA from 1 species
UACGUAGGGGGCAAGCGUUGUCCGGAUUUAUUGGGCGUAAAGAGCUCGUAGGCGGUUCGUCGCGUCGGCUGUGAAAACCCGGAGCUCAACUCCGGGCCUGCAGUCGAUACGGGCGGACUCGAGUUCGGCAGGGGAGACUGGAAUUCCUGGUGUAGCGGUGAAAUGCGCAGAUAUCAGGAGGAACACCGGUGGCGAAGGCGG